CUGUCAUGCCUACGGUCUCCGCAUGUCUGUCAUUCUACGGACACGGGGCGUUGUGGACAACCGUACUGCUGCUGAGCUGUAUGCUCAAAGGUUACAUCACCGUGUUCGGGCUAUUGGCGAUCCCGGCUCAGCCGGUCCCGGGCCCCCAACGGGACCUGUGCCUGACAUUCCGACCCCGCGUUGGAGGCUGCUGACAGGAGCCGGACUUGGCGUUGGUGCAGAUGCCGUAAUAGCCAUCCUUCCGCACUACGACGCACGCAACUACCCCUGGGAACACACUGCCCGCGUCGUAGUGGCGGUGGCUUUCGCGGCAUGUGGCAUCGAUGGAAUUGACGGCUUGGUUGCGAAGAUUUUCGGCCCAAACCAACCUAGGACCGCCCAUUUUCCCAGCGUCUCUAGCUGCUUGAGUCGAUACGGGACACGAGGCACUUGGAUGCAGGCCAUCGUACUGUCCUUCGUAGCGAAAGCCAUUAUUGACAACUAGCUGGCCUUCCAAGCGAUCCCGGCUUUGCCAGUACCGGGGCCAAUCCCCGUCAUGCCGACACGGACGCCGCGGCCGGUUUGGGUGAUCAUCGCCAGGCUGGGUCACCUGUCGGACUUGUGCAUCGCGGCCCUGCCGGUGUGCGACUCUGCCGCGCACCCUGUUGCACACGCUGUCCUCAUGGUGGCGGCGGCGGCACUCACAGCAGCCCGAUUGUAUGGCAUGGACCGCCUCGUGCAGAAGAUAUUUGGGCAGAAUAAUCCCUGGCUUUGGCAAGCAGUAGCAAGACCAAUCAGAGAGCGGUUGGCCAUGGAUUGCGGGUCUCAUGAUGCUUGGAGUGGGCUUAAGGGAGGCGUUCAAGUUCUUCGGAUUCUAUACUCUCGCCA